rnacentral:rRNA from 1 species
AGAGUUUGAUCAUGGCUCAGGAUGAACGCUGGCGGCGUGCCUAAUACAUGCAAGUCGAACGAGGUGCUUUUGUAGCAAUACGAGAGUAUCCUAGUGGCGAACGGGUGAGUAACGCGUUGGUGACCUACCCCAAAGUGUGGGAUAACAGUCCGAAAGGAUUGCUAAUACCGCAUGUGGUUAUUGGAUUUAGAAACCGGUAACUAAAGGAGCAAUUCGCUUUGGGAGGGACCUGCGUCCCAUCAGCUAGUUGGUGAGGUAAUAGCUCACCAAGGCGACGACGGGUAGGGGACCUGAGAGGGUGGCCCCCCACAAUGGAACUGAAACACGGUCCAUACACCUACGGGUGGCAGCAGUAGGGAAUAUUGCACAAUGGGCGAAAGCCUGAUGCAGCAACGCCGCGUGUGUGAUGAAGGCCUUCGGGUCGUAAAGCACUUUUCUGGGAGAUGAGAAAGGACAGUAUCCCAGGAAUAAGUCUCGGCUAACUACGUGCCAGCAGCCGCGGUAAUAC